AGUGGACGCUGGCGGUAGGCCUAACACAUGCAAGUCGAACGGCAGCACAGUAAGAGCUUGCUCUUACGGGUGGCGAGUGGCGGACGGGUGAGGAAUACAUCGGAAUCUACUUUUUCGUGGGGGAUAACGUAGGGAAACUUACGCUAAUACCGCAUACGACCUACGGGUGAAAGCAGGGGAUCUUCGGACCUUGCGCGAUUGAAUGAGCCGAUGUCGGAUUAGCUAGUUGGCGGGGUAAAGGCCCACCAAGGCGACGAUCCGUAGCUGGUCUGAGAGGAUGGUCAGCCACACUGGAACUGAGACACGGUCCAGACUCCUACGGGAGGCAGCAGUGGGGAAUAUUGGACAAUGGGCGCAAGCCUGAUCCAGCCAUACCGCGUGGGUGAAGAAGGCCUUCGGGUUGUAAAGCCCUUUUGUUGGGAAAGAAAAGCAGCAGGUUAAUACCCCGCUGUUCUGACGGUACCCAAAGAAUAAGCACCGGCUAACUUCGUG
rnacentral:rRNA from 1 species